rnacentral:rRNA from 1 species
AGAGUUUGAUCCUGGCUCAGGAUGAACGCUGGCGGCGUGCCUAACACAUGCAAGUCGAGCGGUAUAUAUUGGAACGAAAUUUCGAUCGAGUGAAGAUAUUGAGAGCGGCGGACGGGUGAGUAACGCGUAGGCAACCUGCCCCAUACAGAGGGAUAGCCUCGGGAAACCGGGAUUAAAACCUCAUAACGCCAAGAGUUCACAUGGACUUUUGGCCAAAGAUUUAUCGGUAUGGGAUGGGCCUGCGUCUGAUUAGCUAGUUGGUGGGGUAACGGCCUACCAAGGCAACGAUCAGUAGCCGACCUGAGAGGGUAAUCGGCCACAUUGGAACUGAGACACGGUCCAAACUCCUACGGGAGGCAGCAGUGGGGAAUAUUGCACAAUGGGCGAAAGCCUGAUGCAGCAACGCCGCGUGAGCGAUGAAGGCCUUUGGGUCGUAAAGCUCUGUCCUUGGGGAAGAAAAAAAUGACGGUACCCUUGGAGGAAGCCCCGGCUAACUACGUGCCAGCAGCCGCGGUAAUACGUAGGGGGCAAGCGUUAUCCGGAAUUAUUGGGCGUAAAGAGUGCGUAGGUGGUUUUAUAAGCGUGAGGUGAAAGGCAAUGGCUCAACUAUUGUAAGCCUUGUGAACUGUAAGACUUGAGUGCAGGAGAGGAAAGUGGAAUUCCUAGUGUAGCGGUGAAAUGCGUAGAUAUUAGGAGGAACACCAGUGGCGAAGGCGACUUUCUGGACUGUAACUGACACUGAGGCACGAAAGCGUGGGGAGCAAACAGGAUUAGAUACCCUGGUAGUCCACGCCGUAAACGAUGAGCACUAGGUGUCGGGGCCGCAAGGUUUCGGUGCCGCAGUUAACGCAUUAAGUGCUCCGCCUGGGGAGUACGCACGCAAGUGUGAAACUCAAAGGAAUUGACGGGGACCCGCACAAGCAGCGGAGCAUGUGGUUUAAUUCGAAGCAACGCGAAGAACCUUACCAGGACUUGACAUCCUUCUGACAGGACCUUAACCGGUCCCUCCUUCGGGCAGAAGAGACAGGUGGUGCAUGGUUGUCGUCAGCUCGUGUCGUGAGAUGUUGGGUUAAGUCCCGCAACGAGCGCAACCCUUGUCAUUAGUUGCCAUCAUUAAGUUGGGCACUCUAGUGAGACUGCCGGGGAUAACUCGGAGGAAGGUGGGGAUGACGUCAAAUCAUCAUGCCCCUUAUGUCCUGGGCUACACACGUGCUACAAUGGCUGGUACAAAGAGACGCAAGACCGCGAGGUGGAGCAAAUCUUCAAAACCAGUCCCAGUUCGGAUUGUAGGCUGAAACUCGCCUGCAUGAAGUCGGAGUUGCUAGUAAUCGCAGGUCAGCAUACUGCGGUGAAUACGUUCCCGGGCCUUGUACACACCGCCCGUCACACCACGAAAGUCUGU